GAGUUUGAUCCUGGUUCAGAAACGAACGCUGGCGGCGUGCUUAACACAUGCAAGUCGAACGCGAAAGGGACUUCGGUCCCGAGUAGAGUGGCGCACGGGUGAGUAACGCGUAAGUAAUCUACCCCUGUAUCUGGAAUAACCCACCGAAAGGUGAGCUAAUACCGGAUACGUUUAUCUUGAUGCGAAUGAUGAUAAAGAAAGGUGGCCUCUUCAUGAAAGCUACCGUACAGGGGCGAGCUUGCGUACCAUUAGCUGGUUGGUAGGGUAAUGGCCUACCAAGGCGACGAUGGUUAGCGGGUCUGAGAGGAUGAUCCGCCACACUGGAACUGAAACACGGACCAGACUCCUACGGGAGGCAGCAGUGAGGAAUAUUGCGCAAUGGGGGCAACCCUGACGCAGCGACGCCGCGUGGACGAUGAAGGCCCUUGGGUCGUAAAAUCCUGUCAGAUGGAAAGAAAUGUACAGGUGUUAAUAUCCGCCUGUAUUUGACGGUCCCAUCAAAGGAAGCACCGGCUAACUCCGUGCCAGCAGCCCGCGGUAAUAC
rnacentral:rRNA from 1 species